GAUCCUGGCUCAGGACGAACGCUGGCGGCGUGCUUAAAACAUGCAAGUCGAACGGGAUUCAUCCUUCGGGAGAAAAUCUAGUGGCGAACGGGUGAGUAACACGUGAGCAACCUACCCCAGAGACCGGGAUAAGCCAGGGAAACUUGGUCUAAUACCGGAUAAUCUCUUCCCGCUACUAACGGGUUGAGCAAAUGGUUUUUCGCUUUGGGAUGGGCUCGCGGACUAUCAGCUUGUUGGUGGGGUAAUGGCCUACCAAGGCUUCGACGG
rnacentral:rRNA from 1 species